CCAGAGAACUUAGCAGAGAUGCUUUGGUGCCUUCGGGAACUCUGAGACAGGUGCUGCAUGGCUGUCGUCAGCUCGUGUUGUGAAAUGUUGGGUUAAGUCCCGCAACGAGCGCAACCCUUAUCCUUUGUUGCCAGCGGCUCGGCCGGGAACUCAAAGGAGACUGCCGGUGAUAAACCGGAGGAAGGUGGGGAUGACGUCAAGUCAUCAUGGCCCUUACGGCCAGGGCUACACACGUGCUACAAUGGCGCAUACAAAGAGAAGCGACCUCGCGAGAGCAAGCGGACCUCACAAAGUGCGUCGUAGUCCGGAUUGGAGUCUGCAACUCGACUCCAUGAAGUCGGAAUCGCUAGUAAUCGUAGAUCAGAAUGCUACGGUCGAAUACGUUCCGGGCCUUGUACACACCGCCCGUCACACCAUGGGAGUGGGUUGCAAAAGAAGUAGGUAGCUUAACCUUCGGGAGGGCGCUUACCACUUUGUGAUUCAUGACUGGGGUGAAGUCGUAACAAGGUAAGCGUAGCGAG
rnacentral:rRNA from 1 species